GGCGGCGGCAGCAGCGACGGCGGUCGCCGCCGGGAAGGUGGCCGGGAGCGGCGCGGUGGCAGAGGGUCGGGUCGGUGCCGGCAGCAGCAUGGGACGGCCGUGGGAAGGAGGUCUAUUGUGAGAAUCCAAGCAACCUCCCUCCCCUCCCCUCUGAUCAGAUUCCUUUUAAGUGAAGCUCACUCAGUCUCUGAGGACCAAAUCUCACCGAUGACUGGGAAGCAAAGAGUACCCAGGAAAGCACUUUUACCACGGACUCCACCUCAGGAGCACCAGGAACGCAUCUUCUAAAUAAAAUCCGUGCCCCUUCGAUGCAGACCUGAUGUCUGCUGCAAUGGAUACAGAAUCAACAUAUUCGGGAUACUCCCACUACUCAGGUCACUCCAAAAAAGCUCACAGACAAGGGAGCCGGGACAGACACAAAUCUCCACGAAGCAAAGAUGGCAGUCGGUCUGAGAAGUCCGUCACUAUUCAGACACCUCCUGCAGAGCCGCUGCUUGGAAAUGACACCUCUCGGGCAGAGGAGGGCCAGGAUGACAACUGGGGUGAGACCACAACGGCAAUCACAGGCACCUCUGAGCACAGUAUUUCCCAGGAGGACAUUGCCCGGAUCAGUAAGGAUCUGGAAGACAGUGUUGGGUUGGACUGCAAACGUUACCUGGGCUUAACAGUGGCAGCUGUUCUCGGACUCUUAGUCUUCCUCACCCCCAUUGCCUUCAUUCUUUUACCCCAGAUCCUGUGGAGAGAUGAUCUGGAGCCGUGUGGUACUGUCUGUGAGGGACUGUUCAUCUCUGUGGCGUUUAAACUCCUCAUUCUCCUGAUUGGGACCUGGGCUCUUUUCUUCCGCCGGCCCAAGGCAGACCUACCAAGGGUAUUUGUGUUUCGGGCCCUUCUGCUGGUCCUCAUAUUCCUCUUUGUGUUUUCCUACUGGCUCUUUUACGGCGUUCGCAUCUUGGACUUGAAGGACACCAACUACCAAGGGAUAGUGCAGUAUGCUGUGUCUCUGGUGGAUGCCCUGCUCUUCAUCCACUACCUGGCCAUUGUGCUGCUGGAGCUGCGGCAACUGCAGCCCAUGUUCACCAUCAAGGUGGUUCGUUCCACGGAUGGGGAGUCGCGAUACUACAGCUUGGGACACCUGAGCAUCCAACGAGCUGCACUGGUGGUUCUGGAAAAUUACUACCGAGAUUUCACAGUUUACAACCCAGCCUUGUUAACAGCCUCCAAAUCCCGAGCAGCCAAGCACAUGGCUGGCCUGAAAGUCUACAAUGUUGAUGGCCCGGGUAACAAUGCGUCGGGGCAGUCCCGGGCCAUGAUCGCGGCCGCCGCCCGGCGCCGGGACUCCAGCCACAAUGAGCUCUACUAUGAGGAGGCUGACCAUGAGCGCCGUGUGAAGAAACGCCGGGCAAGGCUUGUGGUUGCAGUAGAAGAGGCUUUCACUCACAUCAAACGCCUCCAGGCAGAGGAACAGCAGAAAGCUCCAGGAGAGAUGAUGGACCCCCGAGAAGCAGCCCAGGCCAUCUUCCCCUCCAUGGCAAGAGCUCUGCAGAAGUACCUUCGCACCACCCGUCAGCAGCAGUACCACAGCAUGGAGAGCAUCUUGCAACACCUGGCCUUCUGCAUCACCAACAACAUGACACCAAAGGCAUUCCUGGAGCGUUACCUCAACCCAGGCCCAACCCUCCAGUAUGACAGGGAUCGCUGGUUCUCCAAGCAGUGGACGCUGGUCAGCGAGGAAGCGGUCACAAGCGGGUUACAAGACGGCGUUGUGUUUGUCCUCAAGUGCUUGGACUUCAGCCUUGUUGUUAAUGUGAAAAAAAUCCCCUUCAUCAAACUCUCAGAAGAGUUCAUAGACCCUAAAUGUCAUAAAUUUGUCCUCCGCUUACAGUCUGAGACUUCAGUCUAAGGGAUUUUGAGGGCCUUUCUGGUCUGUCCUGCCACAGUAAAAUGCAAACUCAGUUAUCACUUCUGAAGGAAGGCUGAUCCAAACCUGUGACAGAAAGGGGAUGGAGGUUUUUACUGGAAAAAAAGAACCACUUGGAGGGUCCUGUCAUCUUGGACCAGAGGUAAACAAGCACCUUAUGCCUGAGGGAUAUACUGAGCUUGAGGAGGAGAUGCUUCUCCUGCAGUGCCCUUCUUGAUCAUGUAGGCAUAAGACACUGGCUGCCCUGAGACUGCACAGCUGUGAGCAUGGUGGCUGAGCUGUGGCUUGAUUCAUAUGAAGAUUAAUUAGCUCUGGUAGGUGAUGGGACCAGGCCUUACAGCUGUGGACACUGAGAAAGCAUCUCCUGUGAGGAAUGAAAUAGGAACAUGUGGGGCAAAAGGGCCAUAUGCAGUCAGGGUAUAACAAAUGCGGUAAGAAAGGGAUUUUGUCAUCUUCAGCAACUGGCUCCAGAGCCUUGCUUGAAGCACUAGCAGCACCUCACCAUGUGAUAUUGUUAGCUAAAUUAAUAGUUCAGUGAGACAUCUGGCUGUGGAGCGUGAUGGGGCUUUAAACCCAAACAUCUGGUGCAAUGAACUGGUUCUGCUGUCUCAGCCCCAAGUCUCAACUUCUGGGAAGUACAGGAUGUUAAACUCAAGGGCUUCCAAUGGGUCUUGGAGAUCGGGACUGGUGGGGUAGGUGCAAGGGGAGGGGAUCUCUCAGCAGGACAUGGUGUCUCACAACACCGUCCAGGAAAGGAAAGUGAAUUAGGGAAUUGGCCAAGCAGAGUGCUUUGAUUUGUCUUUCAACAGCACUCCUGACUUUAUGUUGGAUUGGAAAGGGGAUGGGUUUAGGUUACAGUCCUUUCCUGUACUGACAGAUAAUCCACUGGGGCAAGGGCAUCCAUUCCCUUUUCAUGUGUGCAUCCAUGGACUGCUGGGUCAGGAGGUGCUGAGAGAAAAGAGUGCACUGUGCACAUUGAGUCUGCAGAAGUAGGGAUGGUAUAGUGGGGUGAUGGCAUACGUAUAAAUCAUUAGCUGUGGACAAGGUUACCUGAGUUGCUUUGAAAAGCUGUAACAAGUUUUACAGCCCUGCUGUGAGCUUGUGUGCUUUAUGUUGAUGUGGUACUAGGGGAGUACCUCAAUUGGGAAGAAAGCUGUCCCCAUCUCCCUGUCCCUCUCCAUAGUGAACUUGUAAAAGGUUGGGAGUAGAUUGGGUUUCCCCUCCCACCUACUGCUCACAUUGUAGUCUGUGUUCAUACUGGGGCUGCGAAACCGCCAGCCUACUCCAAAGCCCUGAGCUGAUCUUCCUUUCCUCCAAAAUCUGGGGACCUGAAUGAAGCUAUCUGUACAGGACUUGGGGCUUGCUCUGGUUCCAGCUCAGUUAAUGAACAACCUGGGGACCCCAGGAGCCCCUCCCACUUUGGCCCUGCUGCUUGUUGGCCUCUCAAAGCCUCCCGAGUGAGUGCUGCCAGUGGGAGAAGGAGAGCAGGUGUUUGCUGCAGAGACCACAGCCAGGACAGAGGGGACAAUCAGUCUUUGAUCUCUGUGUGGACAGCACUAAAUACAACUUAAAAAGGAUGGAGGAAGAAAAUUUUUACCUUGUGGAUGUGCAUUUAAGGUAGCUCAAUGCAUCCACCUUGCUUAUGUAUCAAAAUAAUGGAGGGAACAGCAAUGCCUCAAGAGAGACAGUAACACAAGGCAACAUGAAGUCAGUGGAAGAGACCUUAGACAUUAGGGUGUGAGUUUUCCCUCCAGGAUCUUUAGGAGCAUGAAGACACUGAUUUAAAAAAACUGAGACACCACAAAAUCCUCUAGGCAUGAAGCUACUCUAUAAAUUGAAACAUUUUAAGUUUCUUCCAAAGGCAAGAGUCAGGCUUACAAAUGCUUAAACAUCUAGUCUUGGUUGUAUUUUUUUCUUAUUAUUUAAAAAGGUAGGACAAAUGAAAAGUGGACACAUGGGGAGAAAGGAGAUGUGUUUGACAAAACACAUUUGAUUCAGCGUCUUUGAAAGUUUUAAGAGAUAUUCAGAAUAUUAUGGCUCUUUGGACCUCUCUUCAGCACAAGUCAAAUGCUGUAGGAGAGGGAACAAGAAGGAGCUGAUUAUAUGUGGGCCACAGAUGUGAAACAGAUCUCUUACCUUCUAUUUUGUAAAAGCUCAUUCUUGAGUUCUCAUAAUACCAGAUCCUACAGUUGAUUAUAAUUUUGCUUUAUAAGUGGUUGUGAAAAACUGGUUUAGUAAUUCAGUAACUAGAGUUAGAGUGGGAAGCUGUGCAAAUUCUUUCAGCAACUUCAUUUUGUGGGGACUAAAAUGUUCCUCAAACAUUUAGCUACCUUUGUUGUUCAAUAACCUCUGUCUUUGUCACUAGCAAGAGCAGGACUUUGAAUGCCAAAUUGAAUUUUAAAGCAAAAAUCAGAAUGUGACACCAGGCAAAUUCCAGGGCUGCUCUCUGGUCAAACAUCACUUUAUUUUUCGACUGUGUUACUGAGGGAUGGACUUCAUUCAAGCUUUCUCCAAAUCCAAAAGAACAUGAGGUUGCCCAUGGCUAUUUAAGUGAGUUACCACCCACGACCAAGGGAGGACUCAGUCAGAACAGCCACUGGUAGUCUCUGGCAGGGAGGUGGCUCUCUGGCUGCUGUUGAAUGAGGGAUACCGCCUCCAGCAAAUUCACCUCCUUCAACUCUGGAGGCUUAUUUCUUUUGUGUGAAGCCAUGGCACUUGUCUUCUGCUCGGAUGGUGUGGUAAUGUGAUUGCUGAUGGCACUGAGUGUUACUGGACUCUUCCCACAGUGACAGCAAUCAGGGCUUGGUGUCAGGGUAGUGGUUCCUCAUCUAGAUUUUUGGGACAGUGAGAAAAGAGGUCCGCUAAAAAAUUCUGCUGCUUCUGCCUAGGCUGGUGAAAUGGCUUUUCCUUGAGUCUGUCCCACUUGUUGCCCUCAAAAUAAAAGCCAGUGACAGCCUUGUCUGGACGUCUUUCUCUUCAGAAAAAGAAUGUCCCUCCUCAUAUUCACAGCUGUGGGGAUCCAGCUCAGUGGCAGUUUGUGAUGUGAGGGAGGUUGCUGUCUCCCUGGGCUGGGGAAGGGGCAGUAGGGCCAGGGAAGGGCUCUGUCCUUCAGUGACCUUCAGUACUGUGUGCUGUGGGGGUGGGUUGAGGAAGAGGAAGAUGGACUACAUAGAAAUGGAGAGAGAAAAUAAAUUCAGUAAGGGUCAGAAGAGUAGUAAGUCAAGGGGCAUGAAAAGAAGGUGGAAAAGCUGUUUUCUUGUUUUCCAUAGCAUUAGGGACAAUGCCCUUUGAGUUCUUUGCUGAUCCCCUUUAUCACAGGGGCUUGGCAAGAGAAAGCACAAGGGGUAAUGAGGCACCAGAAGGAUCUUUGCUUCCAUCCCAAGGGCAGUUUGUAAUCUGAUUCCUGAAAUGGGUCUUUAAGCUGCAAAGAAGCUCUCUAGCUUUUUUUUUUUUUUUUUUUUUUUUUUUUUUUUUUUUUUUUUUUUUUUUUUUCUCCCUAUAAAUAGCUUAGCAUCUUUUAAACCUGGCAGAGCGUCUGGGAGCUGGGCCAAGACUUUGCCCUGGACCCUGCCCCAUGGUCCCCAUUGUCAUUAGAUGUCAUCUUCUGCCAAAGAGGUGUCAGAGUCAUCUCACAGCUGUCCCCCAGGGGUGCUGACCAGCCAAGCGUUGCUUUGCUAGAGGUCAGUGGUACAAGGGAGAGGGAGAAGGCAGGGGAUGAUGCAGUGCAGUGGAUUGACCCAGACUCUUUGGUCUCAGGCAGGACAUGGUCCUGCUGGCACAGCCUCAUUACCAGCGUCACUGCUGUGCUCUGCUGUUUCCAGUUUCUAGCAGCUGGUCUGCACUGCAUGGCAUGGAUGUACCUGGGGUGUGAAAGCAGCCAGGAGGCAGCCUCAGAGGGCUGGUGUGCUUCUUGCCAAUUUGCCCAUCCUCCUCUUCGGCCCUGCAAGUCCAGGCAUUGGUGUGCAACUGGCUGCGUGUGGGACUUCCUCAAAGCCAAAGCUCUGCUGCAGUGGAGAGCAAUUCAGAUGAAAUCUUGGCCUCUUUUCACUGUAAGACUGUAAGUCAGUGGCAGCUGGGAAGUGAUAUGUUCCUGUCUAAUUAAUUAUUUUCCUGGGAAUAAAAGGUGAUAUUUUCUAUUUGGUCUCUGUAAUGAAUCCAUCAUUUAUUUAGGUAUGAUGUGCAGACAGACAUGGAGAAGCAGCCGAUGUCCUCAGCUCUGUGUUCAUGGUGUCUGGCUGAGCAGCUUCAUUCUGAGAUGGGAAGCAGCUGAGAUCUCUGGGGCUGUUCCUUUCCCAAGGGAGACAGGAGACUCAUCACUCCUCAGAAAUAUCACAAAAACUGCUGACCCUGAAAACUUGGAGUAAUCUGUGAUUUCCAGAGUGCCUUCCUUGUGCUUUCCUCCUGCAGCUGUUUCCCAAAUCAUUGACAUAACCUCUGAGCAAUUUUGGGUCCACAGAGCCUCUACAUUAGUGACUGCUGCAAAGCCAGAAACUUUCUCCUCCAUGCUGCAGUAUGAGAGCUGAAGUAUGUCGCUCUUGAUGGGUUUUCCUUCUUCCUUAAUUGCAGCCCAGGGUGUGCUGUGGUACAGCACCUCAAACAAACCCCUCAGCUGUGGCCUCCAGCCCAGUGUCUGGGGACUGGGAGAACGUGCUGUAUAACUUUGUGUUUUUGCCAGAUAUCUCAUGUUAGGAGGGUCCUCACUGUCACUGGGGACAGCUAAGACCAGGUUUUGGAGUACUUUGGAUAUUAACUUGACAAUGGUGGGUUAAUGGUCAGACUCAAUGAUCUUAGGGGUCUUUCUAACCAAAAUAAUUGGAUGAUUCUGUGAAUAAACUGAUCAGCUUGAAGCGCUCGUGGUUGGAUGAGGGCAUAAUAUAAUUUAUCUGUAUAAAGACCUUUCCAAUAUUUCUAGUUAAUAUGCCAUCAUCUGUUUUUAAUAAAGGGGUUUUUUGGAGAUUCCUCAUCCAAAUGUGCUGACCUUUUCUUCUCAGUAUGGACAGGGUUAGGCUGGCUUUGUUCCUCAGGGCCAGCAGUGCCUUUCAAAUGCCUGUUGUUCCUACUUGUGCCAGAAGAGCCCAGGAGCACCUGGGUCUGGGGUCCUGUGUGUCAUCCCCAUACCACUAUGUUACCCAUCCCUGCAAGGAAAACAUUCAAAUUCAAGCUGCCAUCUUCUUCACAAGGGGCCUUGCAUCAUUCAGCAGUUUGGUUAUUAGCAUCUUGGGGCAGAUGAGGUGGGUCUUCCAGCAAACCCCUAGAGGAUAAAGCAGAAGGAGAGUGCUGGGCACCCUGUCAGCCAGCAGAGAGUAGGGUGUGAGUGGAAGAGAGGAGGAGACCUCCACACUGAGAGCACCCUGAAUUUCAAAACUUUUGAAAGAUUGCAGAGCAAUCAUUUGAUUAUUCUCCCUGAACAAACUUGGUUCAUCUUCCAGGCAAUCAUAAGGAAGCAUGGAAGAGCAAAUGUUUGAUGUAGGGGCUUUGCUGCCUUGUCUAUUCUUCUAACAGACUGUAUCUGAAAAGCACAUGUUGAGGAUUUGAUGCUCAACAAGAAGCUAACUUGGCCUACAGUCAUCUACCAUGUAUUCAUCUACAGUAUUCAUUCAAGUGCAUGAAAACAGAAAGAAAUCCAGCUAUGUGUUGUUCAUACUGGCAUUUUCCACCAAGGGGAUAUGGCAUACCUGGGAACAUAUCAAUACUUCAGCUUUUUUAUACCAGUACUUUCAAAUUUCUAUUUCAGCUAACAUAGAGAGAGAGAGUGUCAAAGCUGAUCAGCAGGCAGGAGAAAAAAAAAUCUAUAAAAUCUUUCUUUGCAGUUUGUGUGAUAAAGGAAAUAUAUAUAUAUAUAUAUAUAUAUAUAGUGUGUGAAAUAUAUAUAUAUAGUGUGUAAACCUUAUUUCUCAUCACAUUUAUGUAGCUCUGAUUUUUCUGUCCCUUGCACUGUUUUUUCCCCUCACAUCAUGUACUUCUGUCCUAAGCCAGUAUAAGGAUGGUCAGAACAAUCUUUUUGUUUGUAGCAAGAGAGGAAAUGUGUACACUACCUGUGCUAGCAACUCUGAACAACUGAAGAACAUC